AGAUACUAUGAAAAAAGUAUACAGAAACAUAAUUAAUAAAACAUUAGCAUAAUUCACAAGAAAACAAUACAUCUUUCAAAGGUUUAAUUUUGAAGAUUGGAGAAAAAAUAUGUUUUGGUAAGGAAAUUAUCAAAGACAAGAUGGUGGCUUACAUUACUUAGCAAAAACUGGUCGUAUCCUGCGGUGAUUUUGGUUAUCUUGGUCUGUGAAUACAAGCAAAAAAAUUAAAAAAAUAGAUCAAUCUUGGAAGCUUUGCAUAUUUUAGAAGGCCAAAAAUUGUUUCAAACUGGCUGAAAUUUUAUUUGGACAUGACAACUGACUGUAUCGAAAUUUAUCUCGGCCCUACUGAUUUUUAGUUGGCGAGGUCCGAGGACCGACAGUCUUUCGCACAGACUGCAAUUUACAGUUGGUAUAGUAAUUUUUAGUGUUUGAUGAUCAGAAGAUUUGUUUUCCUUCUGAAAAUCAUGGAGUUGAAUAAUUUAAAUCUGUGUGAAAGCGCAAAGAGAAAGAGACUGAAAAUUAAUUUAUUAUUUCUAUGGACAAUAUAGAUGUAAUACAUUUGUAAUCAAACAUGUGGGUCAAUUUCCAACAGUAGUUGAAUUAUGACAAAGUAUUUUUAAUAAUUUUAUUUCACUUUUAGCUACUUGAAAAUUUCAUGCUGGAUGUUUGCUUACCAUUACAUUUUGCAUAAGAGCUCUAUGAUUGACAUUAAAGUCCACGGGCCAAUUCAUUUCUGAUAUAUCUUUCCGAUAUCUUGUUAUAAUAUAAAAGGCUGAACGUCAUCAUAGAAUUAUUAGGAAAAAAUAUAUAUGUUCAUUCUUUGUAAAAAUGUUAGAAGACUUGCAAGUUACUGAUUUUAUCAUUGCAUUGAUUUUAUUUAUUAUUGAAAAAUGCUGAACGGCUAUCCUCAACAGUGUGUAUAGGCUAGAACUUUCAGUAUGCAUUUUAGGGUCAUGACGGCUUUCCCGUUGCUGUCAACAAACUUUAACCUUUUUCAUAACUUUUCAGAUCUUGGUGUAUUGUCUUCAUACUUGGCCACAACAACCCUUCAAAUAGACCAGACUAAACUUGACCUCCAUAUAAACAUUCAAGAUGGUCGGCCUACAUGUCAGAUUUGUGAAUGUGAACGGCAGGAUAUCGAUUUUAAGGAUGCUUUAGGGUCAAUGAGAAUGAAAUCAAGAGAGAUAAAGGCUAAAAUGUGAGACUGUCAAUCUGACAAACCUUGCAGUGAAUAAAUGGAAACAGAGGCGUUUGUAUGACAGAACAGUAAUAGCAGGAGUGAUAAGGACAGAUGCCUGUAGAUGUGUCUUCAUGUCGGAAACACUAGAGAAAUUGAAAUAUUUGGGUUUUUCAAAACUUAAAAGAAAUUGGAAUACCAGGAGACUGCUUGCCCUUUGCAAUGUUGGAUGAUGUGAUGUCGAAAGCCUCAUGAAUAUAGUAACUUGACUUAAUCUAAUUAGAAAAAGAAAUGACAUUGAGGAGAAAACUAGUCACCAGUCUUUCACCAAGAACAUGAGAUAACUUUCCAAUAUUUGAAAUAUCAUAAUAUGUAUAGAACUUUAAUGAGCGAACAGUUUUUCACCAGGAAAAUAAGAUCACUUAUCUAUUUUUGAAAUAUGUAUGAACAGAACUCUAUUAACUUCAAGGUGAGAGUUUAUCACGAAGAACAUGAGAUAACCUAUGUAUGAACAGAACCACAUUUGUAUAUAGAGGCGCCAGUUCAUCACCAAGAAGAUGAGCUAACUUAUCAAUGUUUGAAAUCUGUUAUACCCCCGCACAACAAAGUUGUAAGGGGGGUAUACUGGAAUCAGCUUGUCCGGCCGUCGGGAGUUUGUCAGUUUUUUCUUGUCCGUCCAAUAACUUAAGAUUCCUUUGACCCACAGUCUUCAUAUUUGGCAUGGAGGUAAGUCAUGAUUAGUAGAUGACCUCUUUUAAUUUUGAGAACACCAAGUCAAAGGUCAAGGUCACAGGGUCUUGACUGAAGAAAGCUUUUCUGCCCAAUAACUUAAGAAUCCUUCGACCCACAGUCUUCAUUUUUGGCAUGGAGGUUAGUCAUGAUUAGUAGAUGACCCCUAUUUAUUUUCAGGUCACCAGGUCUAAGGUCAUGGUCACAGGGGCCUUGGCUAAUUAAAGCUUGUCCUCCCAAUUACCUAAGAAUCCUUUGACCCGUAGUCUUCAUAUUUGGCAUGGAGGUUAGUCAAGAUUAGUAGAAUACCCCUAUUGAUUUUGAGGUCACUGGGGCAAAGGUCAAGGUCACAGGGGCUUUUAUUACAAUUAGCUUGUCUGCUCAAAUGGUCUCAUAUAUUCAUCAUAAAACACCUCCAGGCAAGGCUGCAUGAAAUGGGGGGGUGUUAUUGAAGUCAUUCAAUGGCAGUUUCAGUUUUGAGGUCAGUAGGUCAAAGGUAAAGUUCACUUUGAUCUUUUCCACUAAAACAUGUAGAAUACAUAACUUAGCAAUGCACUGGCUUACUUCCCUCAGAUUUGGCUGGGAGGUUGUCUGAGCUGUAAAUGACUACUGGUGUGAUUCUGACAAAUUGGUAUGUGGGGGUAUUCACGCCAUGACAAUGGCAGUUCUAGUUUGUACAGAAAAUAUCAAGGUGCAAGUUUCUUUUAUUAAGAAUAGACUUAUUGAUUAGAUAACUUACAAUAUUUACAAACAUUUAUAAUACCAUACCCAUUUAAAGUAUUUCAGCUGAGAGUGUAUUAUCCAAAAUACAUGUAUUGUUAUAAUGUACUUUAUAGUAUAUUUAUUGUAAAGUUUUGAUUCUACUAGAUUUUAAAAACAUUUAGAUUUUA